CACGUAGGGUGCGAGCGUUGUCCGGAAUUAUUGGGCGUAAAGAGCUCGUAGGCGGUGUGUCGCGUCGGCCGUGAAAACCUGCAGCUUAACUGUGGGCUUGCGGUCGAUACGGGCAUCACUGGAGUUCGGUAGGGGAGACUGGAAUUCCUGGUGUAGCGGUGAAAUGCGCAGAUAUCAGGAGGAACACCGGUGGCGAAGGCGGGUCUCUGGGCCGAUACUGACGCUGAGGAGCGAAAGCGUGGGGAGCGAACAGG
rnacentral:rRNA from 1 species